ACAGGGUGAACUUGUAGUUAGUCAUACCAUAGUUAACAAGUAAACUGAGGCCUAGAGUUCAUUAGAUGGCUUUACACACAGUGUAGCUGCUGGCCUGGAUGCUAAUACUACAUACCGGGGCUUAUUUGCUCACCAUGCACCGGCCGUCUGGACAUGGAGGUAAAUUCAUGAACAAAAACAUGAACGGAAAUGAUACACCAGGAAGUGAGUGCAAGUGCGCAGUUCUAUUUCUUCCCCAAGACACAGAACCCAAGUUUUUUAUUCUGUCCUUCAAAAGAGAACUGAAUGAAUAAAGGUGUGCGGUCACUACGCCACCUAGUGGAUGAACGGAGAAACUGGCUUUCAUCUAAAAGAUUUUGCACCCAUCAUGUACAUCUCAAAGACCAGGAGUACAAGACCUGGACCUGAAAGGCUUGCUGGCUGCUAGCUUCUCAAUAUUUAAAAUAUUCGAACAACACUUUUAUGGAUUUUUUUUAACGAUUUCCCAAACAAAACUGUCAGAAUUGUUUUAAAUAAUCACUUAUUUCUCAUAAAAUCAAAUAAGCAAUCAU